AUUGAUUUCUUUAUUGAACCGUUUUUAAAUAGGCCACUUUGUAGCUUGUCUUUCGCUUACGGCCAUACCAGCCUGUACGCCCGAUCUCGUCCGAUCUCGGAAGCUAAGCAGAGUCGGGCCUGGUUAGUACUUGGAUGGGAGACCGCCUGGGAAUACCAGGUGCUGUAAGCGUUUU
rnacentral:rRNA from 1 species